rnacentral:rRNA from 1 species
CAAAUGAAUUGACGGGUCCCCGCACAAGCAGCGGAGCGUGUGGUUUAAUUCGAUGCUACACGAAGAACCUUACCUGGGUUUGACAUAGAGGUAGUAGGGAAGCGAAAGCGGACCGACCCUUCGGGGAGCCUCUACAGGUGUUGCAUGGCUGUCGUCAGCUCGUGUCGUGAGAUGUUCGGUUAAGUCCGCUAACGAGCGCAACCCUCGCUGUGUGUUACAAGUGUCACACGGUACUGCCGAUAUUAAGUCGGAGGAAGGUGGGGAUGACGUCAAGUCAGCAUGACCUUUAUAUCCAGGGCUACACACACGCUACAAUGGCCAGUACAAUGGGUUGCCAAGCCGCGAGGCGGAGCCAAUCCUAAAAAGCUGGCCUCAGUUCAGAUUGCAGUCUGCAACUCGACUGCAUGAAGAUGGAGUUGCUAGUAACCGCAGGUCAGCAAUACUGCGGUGAAUACGUUCCCGGGGAUU